UACGAAGGGGGCUAGCGUUGUUCGGAAUCACUGGGCGUAAAGGGCGCGUAGGCGGCUUUAUAAGUCGGGGGUGAAAGCCUGUGGCUCAACCACAGAAUUGCCUUCGAUACUGUAGAGCUUGAGACCGGAAGAGGUAAGUGGAACUGCGAGUGUAGAGGUGAAAUUCGUAGAUAUUAGGAAGAACACCGGUGGCGAAGGCGGCCCACUGGUCCGGUACUGACGCUGAGACGCGAAAGCGUGGGGAGCAAACAGG
rnacentral:rRNA from 1 species